rnacentral:tRNA from 1 species
CAUUAGGUAACUUAAAGUAAGUAUUGGUCUCUUAAACCACACUAUAGUAAAGUAACGAUUACUCCUCAUG